CCUAGCCACAUGUGCCCGUUUCUCCUCUCUCCUACACUUCUCAUUUUCUCCCAACACAUUUUGCCUCGGAAAAGUCUUAAUGCAGGCACGGGGGGGACGAAUUGCGCCCUAAACUGCUGACGUGGAUUAAUAAAUAAAACGGGGCGUUUAAGUCUAAGCGGGAAAAGCAGCAAAUAUCUUUGGGGAUUGAAAUCUGACAGAUUUCGUAAUUAAGAGAAAUCUUUUGCCCUCCCCCCUUCAGAUUUCCUUCCCCUUCGUUCAGCUUUUCCCUCCCCCCUACGAAACUCUUCUCAUCUAUCAAUCUCUCCCCCGUAUGAUGUUGUACCUUCGCAGCUUAAUCUUGACUGAAAAUCAGUUGUAUUUCUUCUACUGGUUGGCGUAGAUUUGUAGAGAUUGCGAAAACCCUAAAUCGAGAUUGAAAGAUCCGAGUUUGGAAACCCUAAAUCGAGCCUAACAGAAAGCAUUACGUUCUGAUGUCCUGUUUGGCUGCCGAGAAAGUGGAAGGA